rnacentral:rRNA from 1 species
AUCAUUUAGAGGAAGGAGAAGUCGUAACAAGGUUUCCGUAGGUGAACCUGCGGAAGGAUCAUUGUCGAAACCUGCCCAACAGCACGACCCGUGAACUUGUUUAACCCAUUGACGAGGGUGUGUUGUCGGUCACUAGAUUGGCAACACGCCCUUGUAAGUCAAGGGGUGCCCAUCGCUCCCGUAGCAUGUGGCUCCUCGAGACGCAACAAACCAAUCUCGGCGCGGGUUGCGCCAAGGAACUAUCGUAAAUGUAAGGAACUCCUYCCCGUCUUGGAAACAAUGUACGUGAUGAGGGCUCGUUCCUUUCAGUCGUUAAACAAAACGACUCUCGGCAACGGAUAUCUCGGCUCUUGCAUCGAUGAAGAACGUAGCGAAAUGCGAUACGUGGUGUGAAUUGCAGAAUCCCGUGAACCAUCGAGUUUUUGAACGCAAGUUGCGCCCAAAGCCUUUUGGUUGAGGGCACGUCUGCCUGGGUGUCACACAAUGUUGCCCAAACCCCAAUUGCUACGGUGUUUGGGCGGAUGUUGGUCUCCCGUGCGCCCCUAGCUCGCGGCUGGCCUAAAAACGAGCCUUGUUGAUGUCGUACACGGCAAUCGGUGGUUUAUAGACCCUCGGACAAUGUCGUGCACUCUCAUCGCAUUGGCAUUAAUGGCCCCAAUGCAUUCUUUGCAUGAUCGCAAAGCGACCCCAGGUCAGGUGAGACUACCCGCUGAGUUUAAGCAUAUCAAUAAGCGGAGGA